GAUGAACGCUGGCGGCGUGCCUAAUACAUGCAAGUCGAGCGAACAGAUAAGGAGCUUGCUCCUUUGACGUUAGCGGCGGACGGGUGAGUAACACGUGGGUAACCUACCUAUAAGACUGGAAUAACUCCGGGAAACCGGGGCUAAUGCCGGAUAACAUGUUGAACCGCAUGGUUCUACAGUGAAAGGCGGCUUUGCUGUCACUUAUAGAUGGACCCGCGCCGUAUUAGCUAGUUGGUGAGGUAACGGCUCACCAAGGCAACGAUACGUAGCCGACCUGAGAGGGUGAUCGGCAACACUGGAACUGAGACACGGUCCAGACUCCUACGGGAGGCAGCAGUAGGGAAUCUUCCGCAAUGGGCGAAAGCCUGACGGAGCAACGCCGCGUGAGUGAUGAAGGUCUUCGGAUCGUAAAACUCUGUUAUUAGGGAAGAACAAAUGCGUAAGUAACUGUGCGCGUCUUGACGGUACCUAAUCAGAAAGCCACGGCUAACUACGUG
rnacentral:rRNA from 1 species